AUGAAAGUUUUUAGUUGGAACCGUCGAGGGCUGGGACAACCUCGUACGGUUCAAGAGCUUAUGUGUCUAACUAAGACGCAUCGUCCCAAUGUUAUCUUUCUUUCAGAAACUAGGAAAAAUAAAGAGUAUGUUGAGCUUUUGUGUUAUCGGUUGGGUAUGAAUUAUGUGUUUAAUAUUUUUGGCCAUGGUAAAGGCGAAGGUCUAGCCGUGUCUUGGGAU
rnacentral:rRNA from 1 species